AUCAUUAGUUUUUUCGCGAAUUUGUCUGGGAAUCGUGUUAUUCUCUAAAACCAGUUUCUUAUCUUUCAAAUAUUAACAGGGCAAAAGUCAAAAAAAAGUGGAACAAAUCAAAAACAUUUAAAAAUUGGUUUAGGAGUGAGUGGUGGUGUAAUAGGCUUAUUUGCAUGUGCAUGUAUUGUUGUACUUUUAUACAGAAAGAGAAAGUGUUGUUUUAAGAAUUUAAACACAAACAGACAAGUGGAAUCUAAUGAACAAAAUCUGUCUAACAGUGAGACAGAACUAGCUUCAGGGAUACAAUACUAAUAUACAAAUAACUGAAUAUACAAAUAAAGGAGUAACUUGUAGCACAUAGACCAAUCACAAAAACAAAUGAGCAAAAGAUUAUUAAAUGAUACAAGAAGAAAAUGCUCACUUGGGGCUGAAUAAGAACUACAUUAAAAAUUGUAUUUAUCUAAGAAAUAGCUAAUCGUUCUUAAGUAUCAUUUCGGUUUUGAGUUUCAACGUUUAUUUUUAUUUCAUUUUUUUUUAAAUAUAAGAAUCUCAUAUUAACCCUCUGUGAUAUACGUUUGAACUUUAGUCUUUGUUGUACCGUUUUAUUCAAUGAGAUAGCGUUGGCAGUCAAUUGUGUAUUCAUUAUAUUCAAUAGAGGAUAGUGAAUGUUUCUUUUCUAUAAAUGCAGGAUUUGUUUUCAUAGACUGGUUUAAAAUAUGAUGAUUGUCAUAUCACAAGAUGAAAAUAAAUCCUUUCUUUCCAGAAAAAAAGUCCUAUACAUUGUAUUUAUUUAGAAAACAUGAACUUUCUGCUAUUUAUAUACUUGUUUUCUUUUUUUUUUACUGUGCAAUUUCGCAAGACUCCGUACUAGCUGAAUUAAGUCAGGACACAAGUAAAUUACGGAAAAUAUAUCUCACUGCAGUGAAAAAAUAUCUUUUUGCAGUGAAAAUACGAAAAGUGAAAAUACGCAUUUUAUUUCAUCAAUAUUUCUCAAUAUUUAAUAUAUAUGUACAUAUAUAAUACAUAACGUUUAUUUAACUAUAAGAUCAUUUAAUUCGUUUAUUGUUUCUUGAAUAACAUCUAACUAUGACGAAACAUUUUGGAAUAAAUGUACAUUUAAUUAUAUAUUAUGUAUUAAGAUGGUUAUUGAACAAUUGGAUUAAACUUUGUAUCUUUUACGCAUGAUGUGGUGAACAAAAAUUUGAAGUAUCUAUCAUAUUGAUGUUAUUAUUAAAAUGCACACAUAAUAUAUAUACAAUGUGUUGUUAAAUAUGUUUUUGCUUUAUAUUUUUUAUCAUCUUUCAUACAAACUUUGUAAAGUUCAUUUGGGGCUUUGGAUUUUGUUUUAAAUUCUAAUAUUCUGUUCAUGUAUAUCUUUAAAUACUAUUUGCUCUGUUCCUGUUUGAUGUAUACGGGGUAUGUAAAAGACCUGGUGUUAUUUCAAAAAUAGAUAUUACUUCAAAUAAGAUAUAAAUCUCGAAUUCAGACUCUGCUAUGCUAGACGCAUCAACAGCGAAUUUAAUAUUAAUUGUCGGGCUUAUUUUUUAACUUAAAGUUUGAAAACGAUUUCAGUUUCUCCCCUAUACACUACGCAUAAACCAUUUACACCACCACUUACGUUUUCAACUACAAAAAAGAAAACCAAGUAUAAACCAAAACCCACUGAUGUGUAUGUGUGUGAUUUAACCAGCAACGAAAGACUUUUAAAGAUUGUUGGAUCUAUAGUCGGGACAUUCUCUACAGCGGCACUUGUUAUGGCGAUAAUUCUUGUCCUUUACGUUCGAAGGAAAUUACGAACUGGUAAAGAUAAGCAAUCCAGUCAAAUACACAAAACGGCUGCAGUAAAGCAUCUCAAGGCCUGGCGUUUCAGAAGAACCUUUGUUAAUGAUUGUCAAAGGACAUAACUUUAAGAAUGUCAAAUAUUAUAUACUCAUAUUCAAUAUUUAGCUCAUGAUUAUGAUGUUAUAUCGACGCAAUUAAUUGCCGUGUUAGUUCUCUCGAAAUCGUGAAAAUUACCUACUCAUUAUUGGUUUUCCAGCGGUUAAAAGUAGAAAACGCAUCGCUUUCAAAACCGAUGAUUGGCUGUUUGAAAAAUCACGAGAAUGUUACAACUUUUUGGUGAUCGUCAGAUCCUUGUGUGUAGAGUUAUUUAGGAGCUUAUUUUAAUCAGAUUGCAGUUCAUAUCACAUCAUAUAAAAGUCAAUAUUUGUUUUAUAAUGAACUCAUCGAAUAACGUAGUGAAGUAAGCAGGAUUUCUGAGGGUGUCUGCCAUGAAAACAAUUAUCUGAGAUGUUAUAGGCCUAAAUGAAAAUAUUUGUUUUUAAUACGGUGCAAACUGAUGUCUCUCCGGGUUUUGGUGUUGUUGUUUUUCCCCGUAAAUAACUGUCAAAAGAACUUACCGGAAACACUUCGAUUUGAAUUCCGCUGCAAUGUAUUUUUUUUAUAAUAUUAAUUUACAUUUUAUAUUUAAGUUAAGUCAUACUUUUUGUACCUACAUACUUUGUAAAAACAUAUUUUAUAAUCAUUUUAAUUUUCUAUGAUUUUCAAACAUUAUGGUCCAUUUUAUCAUCAUCACAUCAUCAUUAUUAUUAUUAUUAUUAUUAUUAUUAUUAUUAUUAUAUUUUAAGAUUUUGACUUGUUAUUGAUUAAUUUAGAAAUGCCUCUAUUCGUUUCAGUACCAGACCUUGAAAUG